rnacentral:lncRNA from 1 species
AUAAAGAGAGCAAUAAUUUUCUAGCCAUUUCUGAAAAGAGAACAAUUGACCUAUAAGUAUAUGAACUAUUUUAAGCCUAAAGACUUGGACUUUAGUCUAAAGGUUCUCUCACUAUUUUGUAUGAAUUGGUAGCCUCUACCUCUAAUCUGAGGAAUUACUUUAAUUCUUUAGCAGGUACUAGAAUAUGCACAGACUGCAUUCAGGCCCAAGUAUGGUUCGACCAAUCCUAAUGCAUCCAUGGGUAGGUUCAUAACCAAUUAUUUCUCCAAACAAUUUCUAACAAUCAGAUUUUGCCCCAGGCAUCCCUUCAGCAGGCAUGUGGCGCCUCCACUGAAAAUCCUGAUUAGGUCCAACCAUUAACAUGACAACAUCAAGUACAUCCAAUAAACGAAUAUCCAGAUUUGAGUGUGGCUCAGCCAACCUGAGCAUUGAUCUAAAAGUACAAUAAGAUGAUCAUAUAAUGGAUGAUAAUUUCAAAACGUAAUAGGCAUCAGGUGUGUGGUGUCUCCAAUGCCUAUUUGAAAUAUUGGACUCAUUAUCACGUAUCUUAAUGGAAGGCUAUGAUCUAGUUAUCCCCAUAACUAACUCAUUUUAUGGACCUAAUAAUUUAGAGAAUUUGAUUAAUUUAUUUUAUAAAAUAUCAGUUGACCUACAAAUCAUAAAUUCUUUCACUGACUUCAUCAACUCAUAUAAAGGAUUAGUGACUAGCGAGUCCAACCGGCACAUGUCGUAAGUCCUCCCACUGACUUCACCAAGUCAUAAGAAAGAUUGAGACAAAUCGGUUUAAGGCACCUAAAUUAGUUAUAUUGAUUAACCUUAAUGAUAUGGAUCAACUCAAGUCACCUAGUGAUCUAAUCAGUCCAAUAAUUUGGGCUCAACCAUUGAGCCCCAAUCAAGAUCCAUUUGGUUUAAUCAAAGAUAUGGACUCGACCUUCUACAACUAUUGUAUUUGAUCUAGAGUACUCUUGAUCUAAUCUAAAUCAACUAUUGGUUAGAUUUGAUCAACUACUCUUUUUAGUCCAUUAGGUCUUUGAUUCUAACUUUAGGUCUAAUCUAAUUAAAAAGACCUGAUUUGAACUAAUCCAUGCCCC